GCCCGAAUAGCUCAGCCGGUUAGAGCACCUGACUGUUAAUCAGGGGGUCGUUGGUUCGAGUCCAACUUCGGGCGCCA
rnacentral:tRNA from 2 species